AAUAUUAAAUAAUCGGACAUAGUACGAUAAGGUUGUAUGUCUAAAGGGAAACAGCCCAGAACCAGAGUUAAGGUUCCUAAAUUAAUGUUAAGUGAAAUUAAGGUAGUUUCUAUUAAAUACGACUAGAAAGUAGGCUUAGAAGCGGCCAUUUUUUGAAGACCUUGUAACAGAGCACUGGUUUAGUAAGUAGUUCCCUAUUUACAUUGAUAGAAGCCCCGAAAAUAUAUUGGAUUUAAACAAUAUACCGACCCCUUGUUCAUAUUUAUAAAUAAAAAAAAAAAAAUAAAGCUGAUAAUGCAUGCUGAUCUUCUAUAAAAAUUUUAAGGCGAAAAUCCUUUUUUUCGUCGGCUGCACAGCGCGCAGCUAGCUAGCUAAUAUUAUUAGUUUUUAUUAUAAAUAAGAGGUAGCAGAACGUUAGGUAGAUCUCACGAUUUAAUCUUUUCAAGAUUAAAAAAGAUAGAAUAUCCUAAGUGAUAAUGCUGACAUGAGUAACGAUAAAGGGGCUGCUUUCGAAGAUCAGCACCCUCGCCUAAAGCUUAUGGCUAUAUUAAAGUAACGGCCUCUAAGUUUACACACCUAAAGGAUUAAACGAUGAGAAAAUCUUGCCUACUAUAGUAACAACCUUUAUAAGUGUUAAAGGUUCUGGAAAAACAAGUAAAAAGCUUUAAAAUUAAAAAAAAUAAACUAAAUAGAUGAUGUUAAUUUUAAAGUGGCAAUUUAAACCGU
rnacentral:rRNA from 1 species